AAACAUGAAUCUCUUGCAGUCUCUCCUUUUGGAAUUCCAAGCAGUGUGAGUUUGUCAAAGAACAUCAGCAUGUACAAUCAGCUGGGAGCAGAUGAAGUUUGAACUUUUUUCAGAGGCUUCCUUCUUGAGCUAUGAUAAGAACUAAUCUCAGUGCUGGACAAAAGAAUAAAGUCUGCAAGUUCUCAUCUAUCCCUACUAAGGUCUAUUUAAGUGCCUCCUACUUUGGUACAAGCAACAAAUGUAAUUGCUUCAUGGCCUGCGGGUGUUCAUUUAACAAAAGAAGCUUUUGUGAAUAAACCACAGGUGUUACCUUUCUUGAUUAAAGUGAAAUAUGAUGAAAGAAUCUACAAUAUCAAAUGACAAAUUUACUAAAUACUGAUUAAAUUGCCUUAUUUAAGUAAAUUGCAUCUAGUUAGGAUAAAAUAUACACCAUAGAAAUGCAGGCAUUUGUUUUAUCACUCUAUACUUAAAGUCUCACAUAGCUAUUCCUUAAUCCUUUAUUUAUUAAUUCAGAACCAAGAGUGAAUAAUGCUUAACAGAUACUCUUUUUUAAUAAUCCAGUUGCUCUAGGCACCAUUUCUAUAGGCUUAUCAUAAAUGUUAUUCAUAUUAAGGCUGCCAUCUAUAUAAAACCCAACAACAUUCAUUAGCUCAAUAUUUUCAAAAUCAGCAUAAGCAUUUACUUUUUCUUUUUUGUGCUGGAAAAAGCUAUGAAAUUGUAGCAGCCACACUGGACCUUUAACAGCAUAGCAGAUUUUAAACCAACAUCUUCUAAGUAUCACUAAAAGGCUGCAUUACCUGGAAUUUAAUACUUCUUAAAAGAAUAUAACAGAAUGAAUUUACCUUAAAUUCAUAGGUACUUCCAAACAGUUUAGCAUUUUCCUUUUCCUUAUUGAACAGUUUAAGCUGCUUAUGAAUAAGACACAAUGUACUUGGCCCAGUUUGUUUAAAUAAACAUAUGAAAAGGAAUACAUAUGACAUUAUGACCUUGGUCCAGAUUAUUAUGAGACAAGAUGACAAUUAAACACUAACAGGUUUCUAUACAGAAAUUAAAUUCACUCUGAUUAAAUAUUUAUAUUACAAAUUCAUUCUCUAUAUUAAGUCAUUGGUUGUUUUAAUAGAAAAUUUAUAAAAAGGUAAGAUACAAAGACUUGUCCAUCUUUAAGUUUUGAAAUUAAUUAUUAACCAAUAUUAGGAUCACAUAACCUUCAAUUGUAGCAAUGUUAACUCAUAUACUAUGAGGAAACUAAAGUGUAUUAACUUGGAUUUGAAUUUGUAAGACAUUUUUCUCUAUCAUAAAAGCAUAGCAGCUGAGCAUUGUUCUUUAAUAAAAAUUUGGGGAAGCUGUUACAGUAAUCUGUCAAAGCAUUCACUGGUUAUUUGAAUGUUUGUUUUUUAACCAUUGUUGCUCCUUCUAAACUUUGUGUAACGCACAAAUGGCUACUGCUGUUCCUGAGCUUACUUACCUGGAACUUCAAAGGUCUGAUCACUUUACUCACUGCUUCACAGGAAAGGUCACAGAAUUUUCACAUCAGCAGUAUCUAUGCCAGUCAAAUGAUGAAAAAAUAUGCUUUCUCUCAUCACUUUUUGGCUGUUGCAGAAGUUUUCAACUGUGUUAAAUAAUAAUUCAAACACUUGCAUGCAUUGUUUACUUUACUUCCAUAAAUAUUCUCAUUUAAUAUUCAGAUCUACAGCAUAUCGUUAAAUAUACUGAUCUGAAUCAGCCUGAAAAGCUAUAUAUCCAAUUUAAAAAAAUCUCUAGCUGCAACCCUGAAUUUAAAUUAUUAGGCAUCAUUCCUUUUCUAAAAAUAUUAUCAGUGAAAAUUAAAACUUAGAGUUAAUAAAAGCUAUGAGCAAGUAUUAUCUGUCAUGAAGAAUAAUGUGCUGAUUUUGCAUACACUUUCUAGAACCUCUCUCUUUGCAUUAAAUCAAUAGCCCUCUUUUGAAAACAAAACCACUUUGCUUUAAAUAGUGAAAAAUUAUCUAAGUUUUUUUAAUCCAUUACAGUUUUGAAAUUUUUGUUAUUUUAUAGAUGUUCAUAGGUCAAAAUGUUCAAAAACAAAUCUCCUAGCUACAUUUAGGAACUUCUGAAAAAAAAAUUGAGAAUAUUUCUGUGAUUCAUCAGUCCAGACUGUUAUUAGCGUUCUUGAUUUAUAGAAGAUCAAUAUUUUGGAAGAAAAUGAUUACAAAUCCAGCAAAGAUUACUUAACAGUUUGCAUAGAAUUUUCUCACAGCAAUCAUUAAGGAUUUGAUUCUUUUCUUCUCCAGAAAACAGAUGAUGUAACAGGGUCACCCUAAAGUGUAGGUUUGAGAACAAAAACCUAUGGGUUCAAACCCCAACUGGAACUUACUAGUUAAAACCCAUUACCAUCACUGGUGUGCCCUGGACAAGCAUACCUGUACAGAGUGCUCUAGCAAAUAAGCCUGGCAGCCACAAUGGCCAAUAAAUACUCUGAGCAGGGUUAAGGGAUCUGAAAAGUAGCAUCUGGACCCAUCAGGAGCGGCCUGAAUCUCUGCUAAUCAAUCCCAGGCCUCAGCACUACAUGGUCUCAUCAUUUAAGACAGUCGGCAGG